rnacentral:lncRNA from 1 species
UCGAUUUUCUUUGCUGCAUUUCCGAGUUCUGUUUCGAGUCGUAUCUGGGUUUGAAAUCGUGCGAGUUCAUGCUCUGUCUUGCUGGGUUCUUCAGUUUUUAGUUCUGUUUUUGAAAGAUGAAUGUUCUGAGUUGCCGAGUUUCUGUUUUCGUUCUUGAGCUUCCGUCGAGAUCCUGUUUUUAGCUCAUUUGUCUUUUAGUUUGUUUUAUUAAUCUUAAGUGUAAAGUCUGGUGGUUUUGUUUUGGAGUGUUGGUUUGUAGGCUGAGUCUUGUUCUUUGGUUUUGAUGUCAAGUUUUAGUCGAGAUUAACCCGAGCUUUGCUGGGAUUUCAUCGAGUAUACUAGUUAGAGUGUGCGUUAAUGAUUUUUGGUUGAAGUCAAUGCUAGCCUAGUUGUUAGUUAAAAUUUACGCUGGAGUUUGUGGUUAUAGCUUCUGUGCUUAUUGUUAAAUUCUGCCAUUUUAAAUAGUUUUGUGUAUGGCCAAGUCGAGUUGUCAUUAGCUGUGAUUCAUGGUGCUGUUUUGUGCUAAUUUGAUUUCAAUUGUCUAGUAUUCCUCGUAAAUUAGAUAAAUCAAUUAAUUAGUUUCUUUUCAAUUGUUUUCAUAAAAUAAUUGGAUUAACGAUUUAGCUGAUAAUUAAUUAGGUUAAUCAAUUUUCCUCUUAGACUUGAUAAUUUUAGAUUUAAUUUAGAUAAAACCCCUUCUCACUCACUAAUUGUUCUAUUCCGCCUAGGUUUUAAGUAAAGAUUUGCGAAAAUUAUUUUAAUCUCUGUGG